UAUUGCGAUGAUUUAAUUUGUCCUGGC
rnacentral:sRNA from 1 species